GAGCCUUCUUCAGUAGAUCACUCUCUUUCCUCUCCGAGCUUUCUAUAGUAUAGGUUCUGCAAUCGUCUUUGCUCUUCCCAAAAGCUCCAAAAAUCAGAUGUUAUCUCUCUGUCUAAAAGACUCCAUUUGCAACCUAAAAAGUAGUAUCAAAUUUGACAUGACGAUAAAGUAAUGAAGAAAUCCAACGAAGACCUAGUUGACUUCUUACAAAUGAGCAAAUUUCUUGGUUUCGUCCAGAUGGCCUCAAAGGAUGUUUUUUGAGAGGCCGCAACGUCUUAGAGGUGUGAGCAGUCUACAAUGAGGUAUUAUUCUAGAGAUUUUUCCCUUUUGUCCUUCGUCCUCCAUCACCGCUGGCUUCAGUAGAAAAAAAUAAUUUAAGCAAUUAGUGGUACUAGAAGAAACUUAAUGGGAAUGGAAAAGGGCUAUGUGAAGAAAACUCUUUAGUAAUGCAUUUAUGUUCUGUCAA